GACGAACGCUGGCGGCGUGCUUAACACAUGCAAGUCGAACGGAAAGGCCCUGCUUUUGUGGGGAACUCGAGUGGCGAACGGGUGAGUAACACGUGAGUAACCUGCCCUUGACUUUGGGAUAACUUCAGGAAACUGGGGCUAAUACCGGAUAGGAGCUCCUGCUGCAUGGUGGGGGUUGGAAAGUUUCGGCGGCUGGGGAUGGACUCGCGGCUUAUCAGCUUGUUGGUGGGGUAGUGGCUUACCAAGGCUUCGACGGGUAGCCGGCCUGAGAGGGUGACCGGCCACAUUGGGACUGAGAUACGGCCCAGACUCCUACGGGAGGCAGCAGUGGGGAAUAUUGCACAAUGGGCGGAAGCCUGAUGCAGCAACGCCGCGUGCGGGAUGACGGCCUUCGGGUUGUGAACCGCUUUCGCCUGUGACGAAGCGUGAGUGACGGUAAUGGGUAAAGAAGCACCGGCCAACUACGUG
rnacentral:rRNA from 1 species